AUGCCUCGUGCCUCCGUUGGCGUUGCCCCUGCAUUGAGCAUCGCCCGCUCCGUAUCGUACCAAGCUACUCACAUCUGUAUGGUGUUACAAGUUGCCAAGGAUCAGAUCUGGAGGCUACAAGACUUAAACCGGUCUAUAUCACAGUCAACUAUGGAGAAUCUCAAGCCAACUCCUCAAGUCGCCUUGAGACUCGGGGGCUAUGAUGACAUGGCUCAGUAA
rnacentral:rRNA from 1 species